rnacentral:rRNA from 1 species
UACGUAGGGGCUAGCGUUGUCCGGAAUCAUUGGGCGUAAGCGCGCGUAGGCGGCCCGGUAAGUCCGCUGUAAAGUCAAAGGCUCAACCUUUGAAUGUCAGUGGAUACUGCCGGGCUAGAGUCCGGAAGAGGCGAGUGGAAUUCCUGGUGUAGCGGUGAAAUGCGCAGAUAUCAGGAGGAACACCAAUUGCGAAGGCAGCUCGCUGGGACGUUACUGACGCUGAGACGCGAAAGCGUGGGGAGCAAACAGG